CUUGAACGCUGGCGGCAUGCCUAACACAUGCAAGUCGAACGAGUGGCGGACGGGUGAGUAAUGUCUGGGAAACUGCCCGAUGGAGGGGGAUAACUACUGGAAACGGUAGCUAAUACCGCAUACCAUCGGAUGUGCCCAGAGGGGAUUAGCUAGUAGGUGGGGUAACGGCUCACCUAGGCGCCGAUCCCUAGCGGGUCUGAGAGGAUGAACGGCCACACUGGAACUGAGACACGGUCCAGACGCCUACGGGAGGAAGCAGUGGGGAAUAUUGGACAAUGGGCGCAAUCCUGAUGCAGCCACGCCGCGUGUAUGAAGAAGGUUUUCGGUUUGUAAAGCACUGUCAGCGAGGAGGCGUUACUCGCAGAAGAAGCACCGGCUAACUCCGUGCCAGCAGCCGCGGUAAUAC
rnacentral:rRNA from 1 species